CUGACAGGGUCUCACUUUGUCGCCCGGGCAGGAGUGCAGUGGCUCAAUCUUGGGCUCACUGCAGCCUCAACCUCCCAGAGGCGGGGUUUCACCAUGUUGCCCAGACUGGUCUUGAACUCCUGAGCUUAAGCAAUCCACCUGCCUCGGCCUCCCAAAGUGUUGGGAUCACAGGCGUGAGCCACCGCAUCCGGCCUCAUGUUCUUUUUCAUUAAAGAGAGAAAUCAACUAUUCAGGACCGGCCCCCACCUUUCCUCAGGAGUCAUUUCUGUUCCGCACAGGCCUGCUGAACUGGGUGCUUUAUAUAGGACACUGUCAUCUCUCAAGUACCCAUCUUGGAGGGUACGGACCCCACAUGAGGAUUUCAGUGGAGUGAAGUUCAGGAGGCAUGGAGCUGACAACCAUGAGGCCUCGGCAGCCACCGCCACCACCGCCGCCGCCACCACCGUAGCAGCAGCAGCAGCAGCAGCAGCAGCAGCAGCAGCAGCAAGAGUAACUCUGACUUAGGAAUAGAGACAGCCAGAGAGAAAUGUGAUCAAUGAAGGAGACAUCUGGAGUGUGCGUGCUUCUUCAGAGGGACGGGUGAUGGGCAGAUUGGAAAAAGCACCGCAGAUGGGAACCUUAAUCUUUCUUUUCUAAAAUUGAUGCUAUGAAAAUUUGCGUUUUCUGUAACUUGUAAAAACUAAAAGUUGCUUGUCUACUGAAAA
rnacentral:lncRNA from 1 species